GGGUCAGCAAAAGAAACUGCUGUUUUCCAGAUGGAGUACACAAUCUAUUCCCAAGCUAUACUUCUCCCAAAUCACUUUGUGAAAUGCAUAAAUAAAGCCAUCCAAGGGCAGAGUUUCUCUUCUACAUCUGGGUCUGACAACUUUAAAGACAACCCCUCGAGGGCAAUUCCCGUCUGCUAUUUCAAUACUUCUGAAGCCUUGACAAAAAACAUAAAAAUAAGAAGUCCACAACUAUUCCAUCUUUUCAAGUAUGUUUUCAAGGACCACUAUCCUGUCUUCCUAAUCUGUUAUUUUCAAUGUAAGACUUUCAUGUUUAUGUUCACACAAUGGCUGCUACACCUUUCAUACUCAUCUGUCAUCUAGGCAAGAGGUAAAAUCAGUGUGAGGGGGGUACAAAAGCAAAGAUUGAAGAGGCAUGUCCUUAAAUUUUUUUCCAG
rnacentral:lncRNA from 12 species